AGAGUUUGAUCCUGGCUCAGAACGAACGCUGGCGGCGCGUUUAAGGCAUGCAAGUCGAACGAGAAAGUAUCCUUCGGGGUGCAAGUACAGUGGCGAACGGGUGAGUAACACGUAGUCAACCAACCCUUUAGUGGGGAAUAACUCCAAGAAAUUGGAGCUAAUACCGCAUACUCUUUUAAUCACAUAAGUGGUUAUAAGGAAAGAUUUAUCGCUAAAGGAUGGGACUGCGGUCCAUUAGUUUGAUGGUAAGGUAACGGCUUACCAUGGCUACGAUGGAUAGCCGGCCUGAGAGGGUGAUCGGCCACAUUGGAACUGCGACACGGUCCAGACUCCUACGGGAGGCAGCAGCUAAGAAUCUUCCCCAAUGGGCGCAAGCCUGAGGGAGCGACGCCGCGUGGAUGAUGAAGGCUGUUAAAGUUGUAAAAUCCUUUUCUACAGGAAGAAAGUAUGUGUAACAUCAUGCUGACGGUACUGUAGGAAUAAGCUCCGGCUAAUUACGUGCCAGCAGCCGCGGUAAUACGUAAGGAGCGAGCGUUGUUCGGAUUUAUUGGGCGUAAAGGGUGCGUAGGCGGGAUGUUAAGUUGGAUGUGCAAUUUCAGGGCUCAACUCUGAACUUGCAUCCAAAACUGGCAACCUUGAGGUUAGUAGAGGUAAGCGGAAUUUCUGGUGUAGGAGUGAAAUCUAUAGAUAUCAGAAAGAACACCUGCGGCGAAGGCGGCUUACUGGGCUAAAUCUGACGCUGAAGCACGAAAGCUAGGGGAGCGAACGGGAUUAGAUACCCCGGUAGUCCUAGCUGUAAACGUUGUAUACUAGGUGUAUGAGGCUUCGAUCCCUCAUGUGCCAAAGCAAACGCAUUAAGUAUACCGCCUGGGGAGUACGGUCGCAAGACUGAAACUCAAAGGAAUUGACGGGGCCCCGCACAAGCGGUGGAGCAUGUGGUUUAAUUCGAUGAUACGCGAGAAACCUUACCAGGGCUUGACAUGUAUUUGACGACGUAAGAGAUUACGUCUCCCUUUGGGCAGAUACACAGGUGCUGCAUGGUUGUCGUCAGCUCGUGUCGUGAGAUGUUGGGUUAAGUCCCGCAACGAGCGCAACCCCUAUUCACUGUUGCAAACAGGUUAAGCUGUGCACUCGGUGGAAACUGACUGUGAAAGCAGAAGGAAGGUGGGGAUGACGUCAAAUCCUCACGGCCCUUAUGUCCUGGGCUACACACGUGCUACAAUGGACGGUACAAAGAGUUGCUAAACUGCGAGGUCAAGCUAAUCUCAAAAAACCGUUCUCAGUUCGGAUUGAAGUCUGAAACUCGACUUCAU
rnacentral:rRNA from 1 species